UCCGUGAGUCGGCAGUGGUCUCCCCCAGGCGACCGGUCCUCUGGCUCUCCGCAAGGUCUUGGCUGUCAAAGGGGUGUGCACGGAUAGUGGGUGGAAAGAGAGCGAGAGGCUUCAAGGUUCUGUUCCUCUUUAUCUCUGGCUGAUUGGACGAGACGCAGCCACAUGAGACCUUCCGAAGAACCAUUUGCUGCUGAGGUGUCUACCUACAGUUUGGAAAAAAGAAAGAAUACAAGGAGAGAAUUAUCUGAGCUCAAGCUUAACCAAGACCCAGGUCGGCACCCAUCUUCGUUUUUGUAACCAGGAGGCAAGAUAACCGUCCUUUGAAACACUGUAUCAAUCAUAUAGAUGAAACUGUAGUUUUCAUAUAUUGAGGGGAGCGGCCUUAGUGAGCAAGCAGAGACAGCCGAGCAUGGCGAAUGGAUUUCAAGUGGAGUGUCUGGGCCACUGAUUCUGUGUCAGCUAACCUUUCUCUGCAGCCUACAAGAGGGGACGUAUGUCUGCUCAUUACCAUAAUCCAACACUGUCCCUCCGAGGCUUUAAUUAAAAUCAGCAAGCAGAGCUAACAGAGCAUGAAACUUUGGUCAGCCUCUUUUUCCAUUCACUCCGCUACAUCCGGCAAAUGUCAAGUAUUGGGCUGUAUCUGCCAGACAGAAAUAAGAGAAAAUAUCCAUAAAGUAGAAACUUACUUUAUC